rnacentral:rRNA from 1 species
AGGGGCAGCAUGAUUUGUAGCAAUACAGAUUGAUGGCGACCGGCGCACGGGUGAGUAACGCGUAUGCAACUUACCUAUCAGAGGGGGAUAGCCCGGCGAAAGUCGGAUUAAUACCCCAUAAAACAGGGGUCCCGCAUGGGAAUAUUUGUUAAAGAUUCAUCGCUGAUAGAUAGGCAUGCGUUCCAUUAGGCAGUUGGCGGGGUAACGGCCCACCAAACCGACGAUGGAUAGGGGUUCUGAGAGGAAGGUCCCCCACAUUGGUACUGAGACACGGACCAAACUCCUACGGGAGGCAGCAGUGAGGAAUAUUGGUCAAUGGCCGAGAGGCUGAACCAGCCAAGUCGCGUGAAGGAAGAAGGAUCUAUGGUUUGUAAACUUCUUUUAUAGGGGAAUAAAGUGGAGGACGUGUCCUUUUUUGUAUGUACCCUAUGAAUAAGCAUCGGCU